rfam:Clostridium cellulovorans 743B, complete genome.
GGCCCCUUGGUCAAGCGGUUAAGACACCACCCUUUCACGGUGGUAACAGGAGUUCGAUUCUCCUAGGGGUCA